UGACUCUGCGCCGAAAAUGUACCGGGGCUAAAUACACCACCGAAGCUGCGAAUUGAUACCAAUGGUAUCAGUGGUAGGGGAGCGUUCUAAGUGCAGUGAAGUCAGACCGGAAGGACUGGUGGAGCGCUUAGAAGUGAGAAUGCCGGUAUGAGUAGCGAAAGACGGGUGAGAAUCCCGUCCACCGAAUGCCUAAGGUUUCCUGAGGAAGGCUCGUCCGCUCAGGGUUAGUCAGGACCUAAGCCGAGGCCGACAGGCGUAGGCGAUGGACAACAGGUUGAUAUUCCUGUACCACCUCUUUAUCGUUUGAGCAAUGGAGGGACGCAGAAGGAUAGAAGAAGCGUGCGAUUGGUUGUGCACGUCCAAGCAGUUAGGCUGAUAAGUAGGCAAAUCCGCUUAUCGUGAAGGCUGAGCUGUGAUGGGGAAGCUCCUUAUGGAGCGAAGUCUUUGAUUCCCCGCUGCCAAGAAAAGCUUCUAGCGAGAUAAAAGGUGCCUGUACCGCAAACCGACACAGGUAGGCGAGGAGAGAAUCCUAAGGUGUGCGAGAGAACUCUGGUUAAGGAACUCGGCAAAAUGACCCCGUAACUUCGGGAGAAGGGGUGCUUUCUUAACGGAAAGCCGCAGUGAAUAGGCCCAAGCGACUGUUUAGCAAAAACACAGGUCUCUGCGAAGCCGUAAGGCGAAGUAUAGGGGCUGACACCUGCCCGGUGCUGGAAGGUUAAGGAGAGGGGUUAGCGUAAGCGAAGCUCUGAACUGAAGCCCCAGUAAACGGCGGCCGUAACUAUAACGGUCCUAAGGUAGCGAAAUUCCUUGUCGGGUAAGUUCCGACCCGCACGAAAGGUGUAACGAUUUGGGCACUGUCUCAACCAGAGACUCGGUGAAAUUAUAGUACCUGUGAAGAUGCAGGUUACCCGCGACAGGACGGAAAGACCCCGUGGAGCUUUACUGUAGCCUGAUAUUGAAUUUUGGUACAGUUUGUACAGGAUAGGCGGGAGCCAUUGAAACCGGAGCGCUAGCUUCGGUGGAGGCGCUGGUGGGAUACCGCCCUGACUGUAUUGAAAUUCUAACCUACGGGUCUUAUCGACCCGGGAGACAGUGUCAGGUGGGCAGUUUGACUGGGGCGGUCGCCUCCUAAAGUGUAACGGAGGCGCCCAAAGGUUCCCUCAGAAUGGUUGGAAAUCAUUCGUAGAGUGCAAAGGCAUAAGGGAGCUUGACUGCGAGACCUACAAGUCGAGCAGGGACGAAAGUCGGGCUUAGUGAUCCGGUGGUUCCGCAUGGAAGGGCCAUCGCUCAACGGAUAAAAGCUACCCCGGGGAUAACAGGCUUAUCUCCCCCAAGAGUCCACAUCGACGGGGAGGUUUGGCACCUCGAUGUCGGCUCAUCGCAUCCUGGGGCUGUAGUCGGUCCCAAGGGUUGGGCUGUUCGCCCAUUAAAGCGGUACGCGAGCUGGGUUCAGAACGUCGUGAGACAGUUCGGUCCCUAUCCGUCGUGGGCGCAGGAAAUUUGAGAGGAGCUGUCCUUAGUACGAGAGGACCGGGAUGGACGCACCGCUGGUGUACCAGUUGUUCUGCCAAGGGCAUAGCUGGGUAGCUAUGUGCGGAAGGGAUAAGUGCUGAAAGCAUCUAAGCAUGAAGCCCCCCUCAAGAUGAGAUUUCCCAUAGCGUAAGCUAGUAAGAUCCCUGAAAGAUGAUCAGGUUGAUAGGUUCGAGGUGGAAGCAUGGUGACAUGUGGAGCUGACGAAUACUAAUAGAUCGAGGACUUAACCAU
rnacentral:rRNA from 1 species